rnacentral:rRNA from 1 species
CCUACGGGCGGCUGCAGUGAGGAAUAUUGGUCAAUGGACGGAAGUCUGAACCAGCCAUGCCGCGUGCAGGAAGACGGCUCUAUGAGUUGUAAACUGCUUUUGUACAAGGGUAAACCUGAAUACGUGUAUUCAGCUGAAAGUAUUGUACGAAUAAGGAUCGGCUAACUCCGUGCCAGCAGCCGCGGUAAUACGGAGGAUCCAAGCGUUAUCCGGAUUUAUUGGGUUUAAAGGGUGCGUAGGCGGAUUGAUAAGUUAGAGGUGAAAUGUCCGAGCUCAACUCGGGAACUGCCUCUAAUACUGUUGAUCUAGAGAGUAGAUGCGGUAGGCGGAAUGUAUGGUGUAGCGGUGAAAUGCUUAGAGAUCAUACAGAACACCGAUUGCGAAGGCAGCUUACCAAUCUAUAUCUGACGUUGAGGCACGAAAGCGUGGGGAGCAAACAGGAUUAGAUACCCGAGUAGUC